AUUGCAGAUAAGAGUGGUAGUGUAGUUACUGUAUCACUUUCUCCAAUCCAAUAACCAAAGGCAUCACAACAAUGGGGAGCAGGGCUCUGCUGAUGCUCACAAACUUCAAUUUUAAAACCACUGUUUCUUCUUUUGGUUCUGCUUCAAACCCUUUUUUUCUUAUUAAAAAUAAUCUCAGAACCCGAAAUUUCUCCACCAAAACAAGGUCUUCUUUGCAGCCACCGGAUUUGCCUGGCUUGGCUGAGACUGCUCGAAUUUCACUCGCCCCAAAUGAGGUUGAAGAAUUUGCUCCCAAAAUUGGACAAGUGAUAGACUGGUUUGGGCAACUUCAAGCUGUUGAUCUUGACAAUGUCGAGCCUGCUAUUAGAGCAGACACUGAAGGUGAUAAUUUGCGUGAAGAUGCUCCUCAAACAUUUGAGAACAAGGAAGCGCUGAUAGCGUCUGUUCCAAGUUAUGAGGAGCCAUAUAUCAAAGUUCCCAAAGUAUUGAACAAGGAGUGACACUAUUUGGAACAAGUAGAGCCAUUCAUACACUUAAGAAAAAGGGUGCAUCUUAAUUUGCAAGAGAACAUUGAGUACUAUGAGGAGGGCAGGAAGGAAGCUUUCUCUUGUAACAAAUGCAUUUCGGGUUUUCCUGAUGCUUUCAAUGUAGCAAUUAUCAUCAAUCUUCUCCUCCUACAGUCUGAAAUUACUUUUGCAUAAGAAACUUGGGACUUUGGAAAGCACCCAUGUCAGGUGCUCAAAGGCAGCAGCGAUUGUGUAGAAAUAGUGGCAUUGUCACCCUUUUCUGGUGAUGACAUAGGUGGCCAAAGUCCCGAGAUUGCCUUCUACAUCAUAGUAAAACAGAAGACCUGUAGCUGGUUCUAGGUCUGGGUCUGGCAAAGCCGCUUGUGAAGUGCAACCUACCAGUGGAAUCGUGACCGAACGCUACAGCAUGAAGCUCCAAAUGCUGCUCAGCUGGGCAACAAUAAGUUAACUAUCGUAUAUACUAUCAUGUCUUUUGGUGUCAAUAUGUUUAUGCAAGUAUCCAUCAUUUACUUGUCACUUAACAGAGUAUGCAGAAACCUGCACGUUUUCAGGCAACUACUGAAGAACUCUCUUGGCAUGCCAUUAUAGAUUUAAUGAUCAUUGGUAA